CUGCCUACGGGGCGCAGCAGUGGGGGAUAUUGCACAAUGGGGGGAACCCUGAUGCAGCGACGCCGCGUGGGCGAUGGAGUACUUCGGUAUGUAAAGCCCUAUCAGCAGGGAAGAAAAUGACGGUACCUGACUAAGAAGCCCCGGCUAAAUACGUGCCAGCAGCCGCGGUAAUACGUAUGGGGCAAGCGUUAUCCGGAUUUACUGGGUGUAAAGGGAGCGUAGGCGGCCUGGCAAGCCUGAUGUGAAAUACCGGGGCCCAACCCCGGGGCUGCAUUGGGAACUGCCAAGCUGGAGUGCCGGAGAGG
rnacentral:rRNA from 1 species